GAGAGAGGCUCUGGAAACACUGCUUUCCCUUCUGCGCAAGACUUGCGUCCAUUCCCAUGUGGACUGCUCAGCUGGGCCAGGAAUUUGGGAGGGGGAUCUGCACGGUGACUGAGCAACGCCUUGGUGGCAGGAGGACCCGAAAGGAUUUCAAAGCCUCAGACAGAUUCACCAGUAGAAGCGGCUGAGAAAAGGCGGCUCGGCAGGUUCAGCGCUGCCAGGAGAGGAGGCGCAGGCUAGACAGACCCCUGCUUUGAGACAGGUAGUCGACGGGGCGCAGUGAACAUUUAAGCUCUUGGGAUGGGUGCUUUUUCCUAGGCCUGUGUAGCUGUGCGGUCCCUGGGGCAGCCGCUGGACACGUGGGGCUGUUGAGCACUUGAAGUGUGGCUGGUCCAAAUGAAGAUGUGCUGUAAGUGUGAAAUACAGACUAGAUUGUGAAGCCAAAAAAUAAAUAAAA
rnacentral:lncRNA from 1 species